rnacentral:rRNA from 1 species
GACGAACGCUGGUGGCGUGCUUAACACAUGCAAGUCGAACGGAAAGGCCCUGCUUUUGUGGGGUGCUCGAGUGGCGAACGGGUGAGUAACACGUGAGUAACCUGCCCUUGAGUUUGGUAUAACUUAAGGAAACUGGGGCUAAUCCCGCAAAGGAGUUCUUGCUGCAUGGUGGGGGUUGGAAAGUUUCGGCGGUUGGGGAUGGACUCGCGGCUUAUCAGCUUGUUGGUGGGGUAGUGGCUUACCAUGGCUUUGACGGGUAGCAGGGCUGGGAGGGGGACCGGCCACAUUGGGACGGAGAUGCGGCCCAGACUCCUACGGGAGGCAGCAGUGGGGAAUAUUGCACAAUGGGCGGAAGCCUGAUGCAGCAACGCCGCGUGCGGGAUGACGGCCUUCGGGUUGGAAACCGCUUUCGCCUGUGACGAAGCGUGAGUGACGGUAAUGGGUAAAGAAGCACCGGCUAACUACGUG